CAAUGAUCCUUCCUCU
rnacentral:sRNA from 1 species